rnacentral:tRNA from 1 species
AAUAAAAUUAGUUUAAAAAAAACACUGAGUUGUGGUCUCAAAAAUAAAUUAAUUUAUUUUAU